rnacentral:rRNA from 1 species
UUGAACGCUGGCGGCCUGCCUUACACAUGCCAGUCGAACGGCAGCACGGGUGCUUGCACCUGGUGGCGAGUGGCGAACGGGUGAGUAAUACAUCGGAACAUGUCCUGUAGUGGGGGAUAGCCCGGCGAAAGCCGGAUUAAUACCGCAUACGAUCCACGGAUGAAAGCGGGGGACCUUCGGGCCUCGCGCUAUAGGGUUGGCCGAUGGCUGUUUAGCUAGUUGGUGGGGUAAAGGCCUACCAAGGCGACGAUCAGUAGCUGGUCUGAGAGGACGACCAGCCACACUGGGACUGAGACACGGCCCAGACUCCUACGGGAGGCAGCAGUGGGGAAUUUUGGACAAUGGGCGAAAGCCUGAUCCAGCAAUGCCGCGUGUGUGAAGAAGGCCUUCGGGUUGUAAAGCACUUUUGUCCGGAAAGAAAUCCUUGACUCUAAUACAGUCGGGGGAUGACGGUACCGGAAGAAUAAGCACCGGCUAACUACGUG